GCAUGUGAAGUCGAUCUGACUUCAACAGCUGUCACCCCACUCAUCACCAGGGUUGAUCCAGGGUUGAUUGGGCUGCUCUGGUUGGCUAGGUGGCUGUCCCCUUCCUCCCUCACUGCUCCAUGUGCAUCUAGCCGGAGGCUACACACUCAGUGGACGACCUUCCCCAAUAGAGGAGGAUCGGCCGGUUUUCGAGCAAGGGAGUAGUUGUGCUCGCUUCCCUGCUAGACCCUCCAAACAAGCUCUCAAGAAAGCUUGCUGCAGUGCAGAGGACUCUGGUUUAGUUAGCAGCACUGCCAGGCUCACAACCACCUGUAACUCCU
rnacentral:snRNA from 1 species